GUGUAAUUGUGGAUGGCGAGAGCCCUGAAAUACAGCUGGACAGCAGCGGUCUACAUCACUGCCCCUUCUGCAGAUACAAAGGGUCAAAAUGUGAUAUCGACCAUCACAUUAAAUGCCAUGCCUCGGUUAAAUACAGAGGUCUGCAGAGGAGCUUUCAGGAAGCAGGAAGAGAAGACGGGAGGAAAAAAAGCUACAGGAUAAAGAUCUCUGCACAAAAAGGGCUAGAGUUGCUCCAACAGCAUCCAGCUCUGAAGGAUCAGGUCAUGUAUAGACUGUUAAUCCAGGUGAAUCCAUGUAGGCCUACACAUAUUCAGAGUAUUUGUGAGAUAUGAUUGAUUCUAUUAGGCUUCUACUUCCAAAUUAAGUUGUACACAUAUCUCCAUCAAUAUACAAGUUAUAGCCUACUCCAUGGCUGAUCUAUUGCAUACUUGGGCCUACUUUUAUUAUUCCAUUGUAUUGGCCUACUCAACAUUACAGACAACAAUCUGUUUUAUUUCCAGACAAAACUGAAGACCAGGAACUGGAACCUGGGAACCUGGAAGAUUAUGUUGUCCUGAAGGACACAAUUCAGGCAGCAGCAUGGUGCCAGUUACAGUCCUUCAAGGACAGCGUUUCUCUCCCAGAGGUCAUUGGGAUGGAAGGUUGGGAGCAGAUGGCAGCAUCAACACAGCGCAAAUCCCAUGACGGCGGGGAUGAGGAAGAAACGUGGAAACCAUUCCAAUUCUCAUUCAGAUUACAUACUGACUAUGAACUGUUCUGUGUGGAGAUGAUGGACAGGAGAAACCUGAAGGUGUUUGCCUCUUUUGAGUCAAA